rnacentral:lncRNA from 1 species
AAAUGACUCGAGGGAGCCAGAGAUUAAGAUAGCCUAACCAUCAGAAAAAAACUCUUCCUUAGCCUACUCCUUCCGCUGCUGCUGGCCUUCGUAAAUUCUGAUGUUAUGGUCCUAUAGUUUCUGGUAAUAGACUACACCACCAGUCGUUAUGCUCCUAUAGUUUCUGGUAAUAGCCUACACCAGCAGUCGUUAUGCUCCUAUAGUUUCUGGUAAUAGGCUACACCAGCAGUCGUUAUGCUCCUAUAGUUUCUGGUAAUAGGCUACACCAGCAGUCGUUAUGCUCCUAUAGUUUCUGGUAAUAGACUACACCAGCAGUC